rnacentral:rRNA from 1 species
CCUUGACAUACUAAGAACUUUCCAGAGAUGGAUUGGUGCCUUCGAGAACUUAGAUACAGGUGCUGCAUGGCUGUCGUCAGCUCGUGUCGUGAGAUGUUGGGUUAAGUCCCGNAACGAGCGCAACCUUUUCCUAUUUGCCAGCGGGUCAUGCCGGGAACUUUAAGGAUACUGCCAGUGACAAACUGGAGGAAGGCGGGGACGACGUCAAGUCAUCAUGGCCCUUACGGCCAGGGCUACACACGUGCUACAAUGGUCGGUACAAAGGGUUGCUACCUCGCGAGAGGAUGCUAAUCUCAAAAAGCCGAUCGUAGUCCGGAUCGCAGUCUGCAACUCGACUGCGUGAAGUCGGAAUCGCUAGUAAUCGCGGAUCAGAAUGCCGCGGUGAAUACGUUCCCGGGCCUUGUACACACCGCCCGUCACACCAUGGGAGUUUGUUGCACCAGAAGUAGGUAGUCUAACCGCAAGGAGGACGCUUACCACGGUGUGGCCGAUGACUGGGGUGAAGUCGUAACAAGGUAAGCGUAGAUGA